rnacentral:rRNA from 1 species
CACUAGUGAUUCACGGGCGGUGUGUACAAGGCUCGGGCACAUAUUCACCGCGACGUGUCUGAUUCGCGAUUACUAGCGAUUCCGCGUUCACGGGGGCGGGUUGCAGCCCCCGAUCCCAACUGGGGCCGGUUUUUAGGGUUUUCGCUCCACCUUGCGGUUUGGCAUCCCUCUGUACCGGCCCAUUGUUAGCAUGUGUUCCAGCCCCAGGGGCAUAAGGGCCGUGAAUUAACUUGAACUUCAUUCCCCCAACCUUUCCUUCCGGGUUUUAAAAAACCCGGCAAU